rnacentral:rRNA from 1 species
AUUGAACGCUGGCGGCAUGCCUUACACAUGCAAGUCGAACGGCAGCAUGAUCUAUCUUGCUAGAUUGAUGGCGAGUGGCGAACGGGUGAGUAAUACAUCGGAACGUGCCCUGUAGUGGGGGCUAACUAGACGAAGGAUUAGCUAAUACCGCAUACGACCUGAGGGUGAAAGUGGCGGACCGCACGGCCUCAUGCUAUAUGAGCGGCCGAUGUCUGAUUAGCUAGUUGGUGAGGUAAAGGCUAACCAAGGCGACGAUCAGUAGCUGGUCUGAGAGGACGAUCAGCCACACUGGGACUGAGACACGGCCCAGACUCCUACGGGAGGCAGCAGUGGGGAAUUUUGGACAAUGGGCGAAAGCCUGAUCCAGCAAUGCCGCGUGUGUGAAGAAGGCCUUCGGGUUGUAAAGCACUUUUGUCCGGAAAGAAAUGGCUCUGGUUAAUACCUGGGGUGGAUGACGGUACCGGAAGAAUAAGGACCGGCUAACUACGUG